UUGAUCUCAAAUCAGGUAGGACUACCCGCUGAACUUAAGCAUAUCAAUAAGCGGAGGAAAAGAAACUAACAAGGAUUCCCCUAGUAACUGCGAGUGAAGCGGGAAGAGCUCAAAUUUAAAAUCUGGCGUGCCUCUGGCCGUCCGAGUUGUAGUCUGGAGAAGCGUUUUCCGUGUUGGACCGUGUAUAAGUCUCUUGGAAUAGGGCGUCAUAGAGGGUGAGAAUCCCGUCUUUGACACGGACUACCAAUGCUUUGUGAUGCGCUCUCAAAGAGUCGAGUUGUUUGGGAAUGCAGCUCAAAAUGGGUGGUAAAUUCCAUCUAAAGCUAAAUAUAGGCGAGAGAC
rnacentral:rRNA from 1 species